rnacentral:rRNA from 1 species
CAGUGGCACACGGGUGAGUAACGCGUAUGCAACCUACCUGUAACUGGGGAAUAGCUCCCUGAAAGGGGAAUUAACACCGCAUAAGACCACACUUUCGCAUGGAAGAGUGGUAAAAUAUUUAUAGGUUACAGAUGGGCAUGCGUGACAUUAGUUUGUUGGUGAGGUAACGGCUCACCAAGACUACGAUGUCUAGGGGUUCUGAGAGGAAGGUCCCCCACACUGGUACUGAGACACGGACCAGACUCCUACGGGAGGCAGCAGUGAGGAAUAUUGGUCAAUGGACGCAAGUCUGAACCAGCCAUGUCGCGUGCAGGAAGACGGCCCUAUGGGUUGUAAACUGCUUUUGUACGGGAAUAAAACCAGUUACGAGUAACUGGCUGAAGGUACCGUACGAAUAAGGAUCGGCUAACUCCGUGCCAGCAGCCGCGGUAAUACGGAGGAUCCGAGCGUUAUCCGGAUUUAUUGGGUUUAAAGGGUGCGUAGGCGGACUGGUAAGUCAGUGGUGAAAUACUGCAGCUCAACUGUAGAAUUGCCAUUGAUACUGUCAGUCUUGAGUACAGAUGAGGUAGGCGGAAUGUGGUGUGUAGCGGUGAAAUGCUUAGAUAUACCACAGAACACCGAUUGCGAAGGCAGCUUACUAAACUGACACUGACGCUGAAAGCACGAAAGCGUGGGUAUCAAACAGGAUUAGAUACCCCUGAUACUCCCACGCUGUAAACGAUGAUUACUGGUCUGUUUUGCGAUAUAUAGCAAGUGACUGAAGCGAAAGCCAUUAAGGUAAUCCACCUGGGGGAGUACGUCCGGCCAACCGAUGAAACCUCCAAAGAAUUGACGGGGGCCCCCGCCCACAAGCCGGAGGAACAUUGUGUUUAACUUUCGAUUGAUUCCGCGAAGGAACCCCUUACCUGGGGUUUAAAAUGGCAAGUGACCCGGGUAGCAAACAUCCUUUUUUCCUUUCGACCACCUUUUCAAGUGCCUGCAUUGGAUCGUUCCGCUUCAAGCU